rnacentral:rRNA from 1 species
CCUACGGGCGGCUGCAGUCGAGGAUCUUCGGCAAUGGGCGCAAGCCUGACCGAGCGACGCCGCGUGUGCGAUGAAGGCCUUCGGGUUGUAAAGCACUGUCGAGGGGGAUAAAGCCGUAAGGUUGAUAGAUCCCUGGAGGAAGCACGGGCUAAGUUCGUGCCAGCAGCCGCGGUAAGACGAACCGUGCGAACGUUGUUCGGAAUCACUGGGCUUAAAGGGCGCGUAGGCGGGGUGGACAGUCUAUGGUGAAAUCCUCCGGCUCAACCGGAGAACUGCCGUGGAUACUGCCACUCUCGAGGGGUGUAGGGGCAUGCGGAACUUCCGGUGGAGCGGUGAAAUGCGUAGAUAUCGGAAGGAACGCCGGUGGCGAAAGCGGCGUGCUGGACACCUACUGACGCUGAGGCGCGAAAGCCAGGGGAGCAAACGGGAUUAGAUACCCUGGUAGUCCU